AAACAAACUGUCGUCUGCCAUUGCUCGGAUAAUCGCCGAUUUGUCGUCGAAAGACAACUUGGAAAUGCAAGCACUGCCUGUUAACCAUGGAGAGGACUGAAACAGGUAAAGUAACAAGCCCAGUAGAGCUCAAAGAUUGUAUAGAAGAGUUAGUAAAGUUCACUCCUGGGGUUCAAUUUAGGCCCCUCAAGGGAGUCCUCUUCUUACCUGCUCAAAGAAGAUCAAAAUGAUCACCACCCCAUUUCACAUACUACUUCUGUCAUUGAGUUAAACUGUUGCAGAUUGCUUGAGACAAGUUCCUCCACAGCCUCUAUACAAGUGCCUAGCGAUGGCAUUGUAUGAUUCUGUAACCUGUGGAAAGGCAUCUAAGAAAAAGGACUUGGCGGAUGAAGACAGUGAGUCCAAACAGAGAAGAGAAUGGAAUGAUUUGGUUCUGAAUGAAGGAACUGAAUUGAUAUUAAAGACUGUAAACUUUGAACUUCAUGUUCAGGAGCCUUUCUUCACAUAACUGAAAGAUGGCUGAAAACAAUUGAAGGGAGGUGUGCUGUAGGCGACUAUAAUCGGUAGAGUUGAUGUCUGUUUACUUUUAUGUAGUUGGUACACAUUUCUUUCUGGUGCAAUUUAGGUUUCUUGUUUGACGCCUUGAAAAGUCCUUCCCGGAGUAAACACCAUAGCUGAAGGGGUUAGAGUUUACUGAAAGUUUUACACAGAAGAGAAGGAAAGAUCCAAUGGAGUCCUUGCUAUUUGUGCUGCAAAAUCAGCUGCCCCGUCCUACAUUUCUCUAGCUACAAUAUCCUCCCUGUGAGUCUUCUCACUCCUUGGCCCGUAAUGUUCAUGCAUAGUUGUCGAGGCAUAAAGAUUUUCUCUUCUCAAUGGGCCAUAAACAAAGGGAGUGGUGGAAAUAUUUCGCUCAAUGGGCCAUAAACAAAGGGAGUCGUGGAAAUAUUUUGCUCAAUGGGCCAUAAACAAAGGGAGUAGUGGAAAUAUUUUGAAACGGUCAAAGACAAUCAAAACUGAGCAGAACAAAGGAGAUUUGCAUUCUUGGUUCUUGAUUACUUUUCUCAAGUUUUUCUCAUUGAAACAUAUGCUAAAAAGGGGUACAGCUUCUUUGAGAUAGCUUAGUGAUGAGUGAAAUAGGCUUCAAAUUUACUGUCGGGUUUAUGUUACACAUUUCAGUAAGCCACUGAACUUGUCCUAACCUUAUUAUUUCAACAUCUGUUCCAAGGUGUUGGGUCAAGGAGGUCUUGAAAGCCUUUUGGGUCUGCCACAUCUUCCAUGUAAAUUAAGAGAGAUGCUUCCCCAGACAAAAUCAACUAGUUUCUCAACAUCUGCAUUUACCCCUCUGAUUUCUAAGCCAAAUACAUGAUUAUGACUUGCUAUGAAUUUCUUGCAUUUUAACUUUAAAUGAGAAAGAAAUGCUGCAGCUGGUUUCAGAACACUUCCAUAACUGAAUGUAGACAGCUAUGUCUGUUCUUUUUUAUUCUGAAUUGGAACAGUCAUACUAGAUUGCUACAAUUUUGUUCA